UACGUAGGGUGCAAGCGUUGUCCCGGAAUUAUUGGGCGUAAAGAGCUCGUAGGCGGUUUGUCGCGUCGGCUGUGAAAACUCCGGGGCUCAACCCCGAGCCUGCAGUCGAUACGGGCAAACUAGAGUGUGGUAGGGGAGACUGGAAUUCCUGGUGUAGCGGUGAAAUGCGCAGAUAUCAGGAGGAACACCGGUGGCGAAGGCGGUCUGCUGGGCAGUUGCUGACACUGAGGCGCGACAGCGUGGGGAGCAAACAGG
rnacentral:rRNA from 1 species